rnacentral:rRNA from 1 species
UACGAAGGGGGCUAGCGUUGCUCGGAAUCACUGGGCGUAAAGCGCACGUAGGCGGAUUGCUAAGUCAGGGGUGAAAUCCUGGAGCUCAACUCCAGAACUGCCUUUGAUACUGGCGACCUUGAGUCCGGGAGAGGUGAGUGGAACUGCGAGUGUAGAGGUGAAAUUCGUAGAUAUUCGCAAGAACACCAAUGGCGAAGGCGGCUCACUGGCCCGGUACUGACGCUGAGGUGCGAAAGCGUGGGGAGCAAACAGG